ensembl:lncRNA
AUGUUAUGGGCAGAUAAGGCAUGGCUGCUGCUUCCCCGUAGAACUAGGGCACAGGUGUUGUCACAGCAGAGUGCCACCUCCCCUCCCCAGGACCCCUCGUCAUCUUGGCCAUCCGUGUCCUGCAGGGGGUGCCGGGCCGACCCAACACAGACUGGGGGACUUGGACCUGCUGGGGCAAACACGCUCCAGCGCAGUGUCCCCACUCUGGGGAGGCAAAAGCUUGGCCUCCAAAACAUGAACAAUUCAGGGGCUCCCUGCCUCCUCCAGGCCCCUCUGGUGUGUCGCUGGCAGAAUCUGGGGCUUAAGGAACAGGGCAAGCUGAAUAAUCAAGACCAUGGAACAAAACUGGUGCUGGAAUCAGGCAGGCUCCAUCUUCAUGGUCUCUUUAGCGGUCCGUCUCCAGGGAAGCUGAUUGGAGAGGAAAGAUGCAGGGAAGCGGCCCGGCGCUCGAUCAGCUGUGUCACCAGGAAACGGGGAGGAAGUGCUGUCCCCAGGCUGGUGCUGGUCAGCGUCUGCAGUCUGCUCUUGCUGGGCAUCUGGCUGUCCCUCGGAGGAGAGGCUCCAGGUGCUGGCCCCUCUCCAUGCGAGAAGAAAGGCAUGGCCAGAUUGACGGCGAAACUGCAAAAUGGCAGCGGGUCUGAGAGGAACACAGAUGAGCUCCAGUCGAUAAAGCUGCACCUGCAGAAGCGCAGCCGCCGCAGAGGCAGGACACCAGGGGACACCUGAGUUUGUCCUUGUGUCGUGUUUUUUAAAGUCUUAGAGGCAGAAUCAAAGGCAGGGGCUCGCCAGUAUGUCGCGGUGCCAAACACCAGAGACCGAGCCCCCCCGCCCAUAAAUUGGGGUGGUUGAUUUCACCUCCAUCCUGCAGGCCUGGGUGUGUUUCUUAUUUGCUCAUCUUUUACUGGCAUCACCCCCUCCCCGGGUCCUGGGGGAGAUCUGCAGGCUCUGGAACGUUGCCUUUGAACAUAUCCUGGAUUCGAGCAUCAAGAGGAGGUGGCGAGGGCUGGGGGGCCCCCCUGACGUGCGGCUCCAGCAUCAGCCUCUGCAAUUACCAGCCCGAUUCCCACAGACGGGAACUGCAAAGUGUGAACCACAUGGGCGCAAGGCGGUGACGGUGUCGGCCGCAAAUGACUCUCGGCCCUGCUGCCACGGCCGCCGUCCUCGCCCUCUGCUUUUCACCUUUUAUCCUUCUCAGCGUCAUGACUUAAUCCACUCUAAUGAGAUGACUCGACUGCCAAAACCCAGCGGCCACGCGGCUCUCUUCUGGCACAGCGUGGGGGUUCGUAAGAAGCCGAGCAAGAAGGGGCUUUGUCAGGCUUCCAGGAGAGGAGCCAGCGCUCCUUUGACGAGGGUCCCUUCUGGCGGCAAGUUUGCUCCAUCCGCGUGCGGCCGUGCGCUGUGUCCGUCAGGGCGGGGACCCGGCAAGGUUGCCUGCCUGCGCGUUUAACUUACCGGCGCUUGAAGGACGCGGCUGGUGGCCACAUGUCACUGUUUACAACCAGCAGGUGACGGCCAACAGCGGCGAGCCUGCGAAUCCGCUCGUCCCUCUCCUUACCCAUCUGUCCACGCGUCCUGGGUUGGAAGCGCCCGAGCGGAGAUGCAGCGGCGAGGACCACGGCGGCAAGAUGGUGCUGCUGACAAACGCCCACGGAGGAGCCGGGGAGAAAAUAACCUCCUUGCGUCUAAUGUGGCAGCGAGGUUUAGCGGCGGCGGAAAGGAGAGCCGGUUUAAUUGGUGACUCCCAUAUGUUCCCCGAGCUCCCUCUCAGAACUCGGCAACGAGGCGGCGGCGCCAGGAGAUCAGAUGUCGCUGGGCUGCUCUUACACCUGCCCCGCCACCAGCCUGGCUCCGUGGCAGCCUCUGCUAGUAAUUAGCAUCUUCUCUUCCGCUGACUUCACACUGCUCGGCCGUGUGUCGCGGUCCCGGGAAACGCCAGGCCUGCGCCCCUUCCCAGGCGCGCGGGCCAACCUGCCCGUGGGCUGCCCUCCACCACCAGCCCCAGCUCCACCAGCCCUGUGCCGGUAUCUUCUAUUUUUAUAAUUAAUACAAUAUUUCACUCUAAUGGCUUUUUUUUUUUUUUUUUCAUUGAAAGAAGGGAGAAAGAAGAAAAGGCAAGCACAAUGCCCUGAAAGCUCAUGGGAUUAACCGCGUGGUCUUAAUAAAUGUACACACAUCCAAGGCA